AGAGUUUGAUCAUGGCUCAGAACGAACGCUGGCGGCAGGCCUAACACAUGCAAGUCGAGCGCUCCGCAAGGGGAGCGGCGCACGGGAGAGUAAUGCAUGGGAACCUACCUUUUGGUUCGGAAUAACACCGGGAAACUGGUGCUAAUACCGGAUAAGCCCUACGGGGGAAAGAUUUAUUGCCAAAAGAUGGGCCCAUGUUGGAUUAGCUAGUUGGUGAGGUAACGGCUCACCAAGGCGACGAUCCAUAGCUGGUCUGAGAGGACGAUCAGCCUCACUGGGACUGAGACACGGCCCAGACUCCUACGGGAGGCAGCAGUGGGGAAUAUUGGACAAUGGGGGCAACCCUGAUCCAGCCAUGCCGCGUGAAUGAUGAAGGCCUUCGGGUUGUAAAGUUCUUUUGACAGGGACGAUGAUGACGGUACCUGUAGAAUAAGCUCCGGCUAACUUCGUGCCAGCAGCCGCGGUAAUACGAAGGGAGCUAGCGUUGUUCGGAAUUACUGGGCGUAAAGGGCGCGUAGGCGGCUCGACAAGUUGGAUGUGAAAGCCCUGGGCUCAACCCGGGAAUUGCAUUCAAGACUGUCUUGCUUGAAUUCGGUAGAGGUUGGUGGAAUUCCCAGUGUAGAGGUGAAAUUCGUAGAGAUUGGGAAGAACACCCGUGGCGAAGGCGGCCNCUGGACCGACAUUGACGCUGAGGCGCGAAAGCGUGGGGAUCAAACAGGAUUAGAUACCCUAGUAGUCC
rnacentral:rRNA from 1 species